rnacentral:sRNA from 2 species
GCAAAACUUUAUAUUUUUCUAACCUGCGGCUGGUUGAAUGGCUGUUUGCGUGGGACUUUAUAACACGCUCCCAUAGAUCCCAAAUUUCCGAUCGAACGAGCAAAAAUUUUCGAAGAAUAAUAAUUUAGCCUCCAGCUGACACAUCGUAUACAUACAUGCCAUUGACUGAAUGAGUUAUCUCCGAUAAAUACUAUGUUUCCAUGCCUGCAUUACCGACUAGCGAACGAACAAAAGACACCCCGUGGAGCAAUAUUGUUUCACCCUUAAAUGUGUUUCUUCUCUUGUAUCACAGUCUCGUGUUACCAUGAAUUGAUCCGAUUAUGGUUGACAUGCUCUCUGUAUCGUGUAAAAUUUGGCAAGCAAGCAGAUAAAUGGGGAACGUCAAAAUUGAAAAGAGUGGAUUGGACGAAUUAAUUAAGGUAAAUACCGUCUUGUGUGGAGUUUCGAAGGAAAAUGAUUCAAAGAAAGCCUGUAUGAUAGUCCACAAAGGAAGGCAUAUCAUUUUAAGCUGUGCAAUUUUCCCUUCUAAGUUGGCCUCAACUUGCUGAGGCAGCACAACCAAUUGAACUGGUGCCAAUGCAGAACGCAAUGUGGG